GACUUCAAAGUGACAUCCCACAGAAAGACUGAAACUAGAGUGAAGGCUUCUCUCUGGAAAUCCAACCAGGGAGAGGGAUUUCUACACAGGCUCUCGGGUGCAGAGCCAGGCACAGCUGGCAGGCACAUGUGAGUGUAGUUGAGAAGCUGCAGAGCCGAGGAGCUGUGGAGCAGGUGAAGCAGUGGAGGAAGGUCCUGCAGUGAGGCUGCUGGCAGGGUGCUCCGUGUGUGUAAAUCCGAAGUGUAUUUAUAAGAAGCACUAGAAAAA